rnacentral:rRNA from 1 species
UCCAGACUCCUACGGGAGGCAGCAGUGAGGAAUAUUGGUCAAUGGGAGAGAUCCUGAACCAGCCAAGCCGCGUGAGGGAAGACGGCCCUAUGGGUUGUAAACCUCUUUUGUCGGAGAACAAAACCCGGGACGUGUCCCGGACUGCGUGUAUCCGAAGAAAAAGCAUCGGCUAACUCCGUGCCAGCAGCCGCGGUAAUACGGAGGAUGCGAGCGUUAUCCGGAUUUAUUGGGUUUAAAGGGUGCGUAGGCGGAUUUUUAAGUCAGCGGUAAAAUGUCCGGGCUCAACCCGGGCCGGCCGUUGAAACUGGGGAUCUUGAGUGGGCGAGAAGUAUGCGGAAUGCGUGGUGUAGCGGUGAAAUGCAUAGAUAUCACGCAGAACUCCGAUUGCGAAGGCAGCAUACCGGCGCCCGACUGACGCUGAGGCACGAAAGCGUGGGGAUCGAACAGGAUUAGAUACCCUUGUAA